rnacentral:rRNA from 1 species
AACGAACGCUGGCGGCAGGCUUAACACAUGCAAGUCGAACGCAUCCUUCGGGGUGAGUGGCAGACGGGUGAGUAACGCGUGGGAACGUGCCCUUCAGUUCGGGAUAACCCAGGGAAACUUGGGCUAAUACCGGAUACGUGCGAGAGCAGAAAGAUUUAUCGCUGAAGGAUCGGCCCGCGUCUGAUUAGCUAGUUGGUGGGGUAAUGGCCCACCAAGGCGACGAUCAGUAGCUGGUCUGAGAGGAUGAUCAGCCACAUUGGGACUGAGACACGGGCCAAACUCCUACGGGAGGCAGCAGUGGGGAAUAUUGGACAAUGGGCGCAAGCCUGAUCCAGCCAUGCCGCGUGAGUGAUGAAGGCCUAGGGUUGUAAAGCUCUUUCGUCCGGGACGAUAAUGACGGUACCGGAAGAAGAAGCCCCGGCUAACUUCGUGCCAGCCGCCGCGGUAA